AUUUAUUUAAAAUUAAUUUUCACACUUUCAUGUCUUUUGAUGGCUAUGUCCAACGCUUCUUCCCUCAACUUCCAAAUUCCUCAUCCUUUUCUCGCCUCCCCUCAAUUUCCCCCCAAAUUCUCGCGCAUUUUUCCACCGCUACCACCGAAACGUUUCCGACAAAUAACCGCCUUCAAAGAAUGGCGCGAAUACGAGGACGCCGUGAAGCGGAAGGACCUCGCCGGAGCUCUCAGUUUCCUGAAAUCCCUAGAAACCGACCAACGCCCAACUGCUGAGCCUUUCGGUGAAGAAGCUUCUCCGGUGGCCGAGUUGACUCGGUCUCGUUUCCGCGAGUUGGAAAUGUUCGGGCCGCAGAGGGAUUGGGAGAUUCUGGAUACCUGCAUGAAUGCUGAUAAUAUGAAACUUGUUGGGAAUGCUUAUAAGUUUCUUAAGGAUAGGGGUUUCUUGCCUAGCUUUGGUAAAUGCAGGAAUAUUGUUUUGGAGGGUCCAAGGAAUGUAACGCCAAAUGUCUUGAGCUCGUCAACUGGUUUGGAAGUGACUAAACUUGCUCCAAAGAAGUGGGGCCUCACGAAUGGUUCAGGCACUGUUUUGGUUGCUUUUUUUGGUGGCGUGUCCUAUCUUAUUUCGCAAGGAAUAGAUCUCAGGCCCAACCUUACAGUGGUAUUAGGUCUAGCCAUUGCAGAUUCUAUAUUCCUGGGAGGUACAUGUUUAGCUCAAAUAUCAAGUUACUGGCCGCCAUAUAGGCGCCGGAUCCUCGUUCAUGAAGCAGGACAUCUCCUAAUAGCUUACCUGAUGGGUUGCCCAAUUCGGGGGGUGAUUUUAGAUCCAAUAGUUGCAGUGCAAAUGGGUAUUCAAGGACAGGCAGGGACUCAGUUUUGGGAUGAGAAAGUUGCCGGCGACCUUGCCGAAGGCCGACUUGAUGGUUCAGCUUUUGACAGGUACUGUAUGGUACUUUUUGCUGGAAUUGCAGCUGAAGCUCUUAUUUAUGGUGAGGCAGAGGGUGGAGAAAAUGAUGAAAAUCUAUUUAGAAGCAUCUGUCUUCUUCUUGAGCCUCCAUUGUCUGUUGCAGAGAUGUCUAAUCAAGCAAGAUGGUCAGUUUUGCAAUCUUACAAUUUACUCAAGUGGCAUAAAUCUGCACACCGAGCUGCCGUUAAAGCAAUGGAAAGCGGUAGUAGUCUCAGUGGUGUAAUUAGGAGGAUCGAGGAGACACUGUAUCGUGAAAAAUGAACCUUAGAAUUUUACAUAAAAUAAAUUUUUGUCUUGUAAGUUGCAUACAGGGUUAUCGCGGUAGAUUUGAUGUGGAGCUGGUUUUACCGGUCUUUAUGUAACCAUUGCAUAUUUGCAGAUGCACCAUGUAUUGGAUUUGGACCAUGCCUACCAUGACAGAAUCAAUCAUAUGAAUAAUUUAUGUUUCAGAAGGUGUCAGUGUUGAAGUUGGUUCCGAAUUUACUCAACACGAUCAGAUAUGUACUAUAAUACUAGCGGAAAUGGUCGUUGUGAGAAUGACAGACGAGUUUAGAGUGGUUCUUAGCCGUGCAUAGGAUUUCUGCUAGAAGUUAUAGAAAAUGGUUUGUAAAUAUCUAUUGUCAUUCAUGGACAAUCGUUCUUUUUUACCAUGUUCCAUAAUGUAUUUAUUAUGGUCUUCUACUAGUAACAAUGACUGAGUUAACCCCAA